rnacentral:rRNA from 1 species
AGAUAAUAGAUACCCAGGUAGUCCACGCCGUAAACGAUGAAUGUUAGCCGUCGGGCAGUUUACUGUUCGGUGGCGCAGCUAAACGCAUUAAACAUUCCGCCUGGGGAGUACGGUCGCAAGAUUAAAACUCAAAGGAAUUGACGGGGGCCCGCACAAGCGGUGGAGCAUGUGGUUUAAAUUCGAAGCAACGCGCAGAACCUUACCAGCCCUUGACAUCCCGAUCGCGGAUUACGGAGACGUUUUCCUUCAGUUCGGCUGGAUCGGAGACAGGUGCUGCAUGGCUGUCGUCAGCCCGUGUCGUGAGAUGUUGGGUUAAGUCCCGCAACGAGCGCAACCCUCGCCCUUAGUUGCCAGCAUUUAGUUGGGCACUCUAAGGGGACUGCCGGUGACAAGCCGAGAGGAAGGUGGGGAUGACGUCAAGUCCUCAUGGCCCUUACGGGCUGGGCUACACACGUGCUACAAUGGUGGUGACAGUGGGCAGCGAGACCGCGAGGUCGAGCUAAUCUCCAAAAGCCAUCUCAGUUCGGAUUGCAC